CAGUCGCCGCGGUAAUACGUAGGGUGCAAGCGUUAAUCGGAAUUACUGGGCGUAAAGCGUGCGCAGGCGGUUCGUUAAGACAGAUGUGAAAUCCCCGGGCUUAACCUGGGAACUGCAUUUGUGACUGGCGAGCUAGAGUAUGGCAGAGGGGGGUAGAAUUCCACGUGUAGCAGUGAAAUGCGUAGAGAUGUGGAGGAAUACCGAUGGCGAAGGCAGCCCCCUGGGCCAAUACUGACGCUCAUGCGCGAAAGCGUGGGGAGCAAACAGGAUUAGAUACCCGCGUAGUCCCUGUCUCUUAUAC
rnacentral:rRNA from 1 species